GUGCUCCCUUCAGCAGCACAUAUGCUCUAAUUGGAAUGAUACAGAGAAGAUUAGUAUGGCCCCUGCACAAGCAUGACCCCCAAAUUGUGAAGCAAUCCAUAUUUUU